rnacentral:snRNA from 1 species
GUCCUUUCCUCGGCCUUUUGGCUAAGAUCAAGUGUAGUAUCUGUUCUUAUCAGUUUUUGUUUUUUAAACAGUACUUGGUAUGUUGACAAACACUUU